rnacentral:rRNA from 1 species
CACUUCUAAGGAAGGCAGCAGGCGCGCAAAUUACCCAAUCCUGACUCAGGGAGGUAGUGACAAGAAAUAACAAUAAACCGGCUUAUGCCGGUUUAAUUGGAAUGAGUACAAUUUAAACAUCUUAACGAGGAACAAUUGGAGGGCAAGUCUGGUGCCAGCAGCCGCGGUAAUUCCAGCUCCAAUAGCGUAUACUAAAGUUGUUGCAGUUAAAAAGCUCGUAGUUGGAUUUCUGUGGGGACGGAGCGGCCGGCCGCAACACGCGGUUCGAGCUAGCGCUUUCCCUACAUCCUGCCGCGAACCGUGCUACCAUUAAUUUGGUGGCGCCGGGGAUCGGCUCGAUUACUUUGAGAAAAAUAGAGUGUUCAAAGCAGGCCACAUGCCUUGAAUAAGUUAGCAUGGAAUAAUAACUAAGGACUUCGGUUCUAUUUUGUUGGUGUUCGGGACUGAAGUAAUGAUUGAUAGGGACAGUUGGGGCGGUCUGUAUUCCAAAGCGAGAGGUGAAAUUCUUAGACCUUCGGAAGACAAACAGCUGCGAAAGCGUUCCGCAAGGAUGUUCCCUUUGAUCAAGAACGAAAGUUGGGGGAUCGAAGACGAUCAGAUACCGUCGUAGUCUCAACUAUAAACUAUACCAGCUAGGGAUCGGCCAACGUUAUUUCAUACCGACUUGGUCGGCACCUUAUGAGAAAUCAAAGCAUCUGGGUUCCGGGGGGAGUAUGGUCGCAAGGCUGAAACUUAAAGGAAUUGACGGAAGGGCACCACCAGCCGUGGAGCCUGUGGCUUAAUUUGACUCAACACGGGAAAACUUACCAGGUCCAGACAUAGUAAGGAUUGACAGAUUGAUAGCUCUUUCUUGAUUCUGUGGGUGGUGGUGCAUGGCCGUUCUUAGUUGGUGGAGUGAUUUGUCUGGUUAAUUCCGUUAACGAACGAGACCCCAGCCUGCUAAAUAGCGCGCGUGAGCUUUGCUCGCGGCGAGCUUCUUAGAGGGACUCUGAUGCGCGAUAGCACAUGGAAGUUUGGGGCAAUAACAGGUCUGUGAUGCCCUUAGAUGUUCUGGGCCGCACACGGGCUACACUGGCGCCUGCAACGAGCAUAUCAGCUGGCCCGAGAGGGUCUUGGCUAAUCUUUUGAACCGGCGCCGUGCUUGGGAUUGACCUUUGCAAUUGUUGGUCAUGCAACGAGGAAUGCCUUGUAAACGCGAGUCAUCAGCUCGCAUUGAAUACGUCCCUGCCCUUUGUACACACCGCCCGUCGCUCCUACCGAUGAAUGUUCCGAUGAAAUUUUCGGAGAGCACCUGUGAACUUGGCUCUGCCUUGCGAACGGGAGGCUCAAAGUCACUUAAAUCUGAACAUUUCGAGG